rnacentral:rRNA from 1 species
UACGUAGGGGGCGAGCGUUGUCCGGAGUUACUGGGCGUAAAGCGCUUGUAGGCGGUCCACCAAGUUUGGGGUGACAGUUGCCGACUUAAUCGGCAAAGUGCCUCAAAGACUGGCGGACUUGAGGGCCACAGAGGGACAUGGAACUCCAGGUGUAGUGGUGAAAUUCGUAGAUAUUCGGAAGAACACCAGUGGCGAAGGCGACUUACUGGACACAUAUUGACGCUGAGGUGCGAAAGCGUGGGGAGCAAACAGG